rnacentral:tRNA from 1 species
GGUGGGGUAGCUCAGCUGGUUAGAGCAACGGAAUCAUAAUCCGUAGGUCGGCGGUUCAAGCCCGCCCCUCACUACCA